GUCUAGGUAGUAUAGUGGUUAGUAUGCUCGCUUGUGGUAUCGAUACGUUCACUGCGAACGUAAGUGCAACCGCGAUUGACGUCAGUUCGAUUCUGGCCCUGGACA